AACGAACGCUGGCGGCAGGCUUAACACAUGCAAGUCGAGCGCCCCGCAAGGGGAGCGGCAGACGGGUGAGUAACGCGUGGGAAUCUACCCAUCUCUACGGAAUAACGCAUGGAAACGUGUGCUAAUACCGUAUACGUCCUUCGGGAGAAAGAUUUAUCGGAGAUGGAUGAGCCCACGUUGGAUUAGCUAGUUGGUAGGGUAAAGGCCUACCAAGGCGACGAUCCAUAGCUGGUCUGAGAGGAUGAUCAGCCACACUGGGACUAAGACACGGCCCAGACUCCUACGGGAGGCAGCAGUGGGAAAUAUUGGACAAAGGGCGCAAGCCUGAUCCAGCCAUGCCGCGUGAGUGAUGAAGGCCCUAUGGUUGUAAAGCUCUUUCACCGGUGAAGAUAAUGACGGUAACCGGAGAAGAAGCCCCGGCUAACUUCGUGCCAGCCGCCGCGGUAAAAC
rnacentral:rRNA from 1 species